GCAUGGAUGGCAUUGACUUGAAUAUAUUGGAUUUAUUUUUUGUGCAGUUAGGAAAAUCUUUUUCCUUGGGCCACCCAAAUGCCAAGAUUAGUGUCCUCCAUGCAGCCCUGUCUUUUGAAGCCUCCAAAUUAUUUAAAUCUUGUGAUGUGCAGAACAACAUAAACCCAUUGUAAUCUCCCUUUGUGCAGGUUCUGGACCGUGGUGAGAAGAUUGAGCUUCUGGUAGACAAAACAGAGAACCGGCCUGAACCUGCUGAAGGACUCCGAAAUACUGGUGCUGAUGCCUUUUACUGCUAGACAGCUCAACAAAGAUCGACAGAAGAAACGAGUCCCUUGGAAACAAUGGCAAUCAUUGGCAACAAGGAGAUUAUUGACAUUAACCAAGGUAUGUUAGCUGUUUAGACUGGUGU